GUGGGGAAUAUUGGACAAUGGGGGGAACCCUGAUCCAGCCAUGCCGCGUGUGUGAAGAAGGCCUUUUGGUUGUAAAGCACUUUAAGCGAGGAGGAGGCUACCGAGAUUAAUACUCUUGGAUAGUGGACGUUACUCGCAGAAUAAGCACCGGCUAACUCUGUGCCAGCAGCCGCGGUAAUACGAAGGGUGCAAGCGUUAAUCGGAAUUACUGGGCGUAAAGCGCGCGUAGGUGGCCAAUUAAGUCAAAUGUGAAAUCCCCGAGCUUAACUUGGGAAUUGCAUUCGAUACUGGUUGGCUAGAGUAUGGGAGAGGAUGGUAGAAUUCCAGGUGUAGCGGUGAAAUGCGUAGAGAUCUGGAGGAAUACCGAUGGCGAAGGCAGCCAUCUGGCCUAAUACUGACACUGAGGUGCGAAAGCAUGGGGAGCAAACAGGAUUAGAAACCCUAGUAGUCC
rnacentral:rRNA from 1 species